GUGUUGUAUGAAAGGAGAGAAGGUUAGCACUCCCCUUGACAAGGAUGGAAGAGGCUUUGGCCUGCGACACGAAGAGAGGAGAAAAGUCUUGAGGGAGAAGCCAUGAUCUCGCUGUAAUAG